CCUGCAUGAUGACAAACAAAUACUGACUACCUGAAGAUUUUAUUAGCUCUAUCUGAUGGU
ensembl:snoRNA Gm23212 small nucleolar RNA SNORD44